rnacentral:hammerhead_ribozyme from 1 species
AUCCAGCUGAUGAGUCCAAGAUAUAAUGGAACGCGUGUCCUGGAU